UCCCUGGCACUCCAGUGGUUAGGACUCGGUGCUUUCACUGCUGAAUGCCUGGGUUCAAUCCCUAGUCAGGGAA
rnacentral:tRNA from 1 species